rnacentral:snoRNA from 1 species
GAGGAUGUGAUGAUCCUUUCCCAGAUGAUGGACUAUGAACAUGCUGAGCGCCAUUGUUCUCUUCAGAGAAACCAAGCCAGUAUUCUGAUCCUC